CAGUCGCAGUCCAGUAAAGCACGGAUAGGAUCGAAACUUAUUGGCUAAAACUGUCGAAACAUAUGAAUUUAGCUUUUGCUCUAUAAAGAGAUAAAAAGAGAUUCAACCAGCGGUUCUCCUCCGUCAGGCUAUAAAAGCGCUACCAUUUUACAACUCUUGCGUCAGUAUUGUUUUUCUUUCGAGCAUUCAAGAGUAGUGCUUCCGAAAAUCCGAUCGCCAUCAUGAAGUUUUUGUGGCUGCUAACCUCACUGCUGCUGCUGAUCGCUGUUGACCGUUCGUCGGCUUUCUGGUGUCCACCCGGAUUCACCCGCCAGGCCAAUAAAUGCAUAGCCAAACGGUUGCCCAACGGCGAGUGUCCCCCGCGAUCAGCCUUCCACGAGGGAAGGGGUGUUUGUAUUCACAAUAACUGAACACAUGUUUUUAAGGUUUUAGUUUUAUUGGUAAAUAAGUAUUUUGUAUAUCCUGGUAUCCUGGUGAACCAGAUCUUUAAGGAAGGAAUAAAUAAAUAAAUAAAUAAA